UGUGUGUGCCAAGGGAGAUUCACAAGUGAACUCUCUGCUCUUGCUCUGACCUGCAGCGUGAGUGUGGCGUCUCUCCAGGACUGGCGCGCUGCCGGAGGCCUGGACCAGUCCUCUCGCCCUGGGACGCGAAAGCCGGCUCUGUGCCUGUGCCGUUCCGUCGGCGGUGCCACGGGAAGGGCUGACCCUCGUGGGCCUUGCAGGAAAGCUGGCUUCCUGCUUCGAAAAUGCGGAGGUCAGGAAUCAACCUUGGAAGAGACAAGUGGAAAACUUGGAUGUUAGGGGUUUUCUCUGUCACUGCUAGGGCCUGCUAAUGAAUCUUUAGCACAAAGCCAACCGUGAAGUCAACCUUGAUGAAAUGUUCUUCUGUUCUCCUGCUGGCCUGUAUCCCAGCUAUUGCUUUUGUUCAGUUGUUUCCACCUCCUGUACUGCUUUUUAUAUAUAUAUAUAUAUAUAUAUACUCUUUGCUUUGAAGAGAGGGUAAAUGACCCUUUACUCACGAACCAGAAGAUCCUGGUGAUGUGCAGUGGCAGCCAUUUUCAUCCCACCAGUGUGAAAAGGAAGAGGAUGUCCUGGAAGAAUUGCAGUUACAGUCCUCUGUAGCAAUGCAGACCUUGGGCGGAGGUUGCUGCCGGAAGGCCCAGUGCUGGACUGUAACCUGUGCGUGCACCUGAGCGCUCGAGGUGGGCUGGAAGCAGAGGACUAGCUGCACGGGUGGACCCUUGCCCAGGGCCUCCAUAAGGAACGAGAAAGUCUAGUGAACAUGUUUUAAUUGACAGCCAAAUGGCAAGAUCGAAGCAGUGCAAUCAUUAGAUGUGAGCCUUCAAUGACCACCUACUGUUAAUAAGUCCAGUCAAUUUACAUCUGAGUUAUCUCUUUACCUGUAUGGAUGUUAAGAUGGAGGAGACAUCAUAAGUAGGACUCCAACGAUUCUGAAGAAUAUCCAGACAUAUACUACCAUCUGCAUAGACUAGAAAAGGUUCAAGAAGAAUGGCUUAAAACAGAAGUUGCAGAACUACUCAGUUCUUCCUACCGUUACCUGCUCUUGAAAACCUGUUUACUGACAAACACCGAAAAAAGUCAGUUUGACUGACUGAAAGCCAACACUGUAGGUAGGAACAAAUGAGGCCUGUCACUGGUAGCUGCCUAAGAUAUAUUGAAAAAUAGUCAGGAGCUGAAUUUAAAGGUCAGGCUUCUCUGUGAGACUAACUACAGCCAUGGAAAGGAUGAAACCAGUAUGAAUAGAUUUAAGGCAAAAACCUAAGUUAUUAUGGUACCUACACAGAAAACAAACAGAAAAAUAGCAAAAAGCUGUUUACAUAGAAGGCUUCCCCAUAAAGUAUCUAAAAAAAAAAAAAUAAUAAUGUCCAGUCAACUUUCUUUUAAGGACAAGCUCUAGAAGAACUUGCCCUUUCUUCCCUCUACUCAGCUUAACCCGUAAGUGCUUACUUGCUACAUUGGAAAGUUUCAGGAAUUUCUUCACAAAGCUGAUAUGUUUGGUGACAAGGAGUACAUUUCCAACCUUUAAUUACCAAGGGAGGUGAUUAAUGAAGUGAUCUUAUUAUCACCACCUGCAGCUGGAAACCAGUACUGCAUUUCAAAGUAUACCAUCUAUAAAGUUCUUAGAGGCAGUCAUUUUUGUUUGUUUUUAAAAGAUCACUACAUUCAGAAGUGUUAUGAUAUCUAUAUGAAAUAUAUAUGUUUAAGUAUGUACAAAAAACCCACAUCUGCUAUUGAAACAAGUGCAAAGUAUUCUUCUGUCAGGUUUAACAGACAGCUGAGAGAGGAAAGAAUAUGAUCAAUACUCUGCUGUAACACCUGUAAGCUAAGAAGCCUCUUUGACUUCCCCUUUCAUUUAAAGUCUAAACACUGAUCACAUAUCUAUCCUCACAGAACCUAUACAGAACCACACUGGAAUUUUACUAGCUUAUUAGUCAGUGAAAGCUUUUAAAACAAUAAUCUUUUUCUACAAAGCUAUGGAAAGAUACAUAUACACACACACACAUAUAAUAUAUAUUUGUAUAUAUAUAUAUAUAUUAAAAAAAAGCAUUAUGCAAGUACUUACCAUUUGGAUGAAACAUUUUAGAGACAAAUCUAACAGUAGGUGGCUUAUUUGGAUAUUCUUCUGUGAAUUCUAUUGUAAGUUUGAAAGUUCCUGGAGUUGAAAGAGAGAUAAGUAACAUUUUAUUUGGAAUAAAUUUACACGAUGGAUAAACAAGUAGUGUCCCUCUGUAAGUA